rnacentral:rRNA from 1 species
AGAGUUUGAUCCUGGCUCAGAACGAACGCUGGCGGCGUGGAUAAGACAUGCAAGUCGAACGGGAUAACAUCUGUAGCAAUACAGGUGUUAUUUAGUGGCGAACGGGUGCGUAACACGUGGGCAAUCUGCCGAGAAGUGGGGGAUAGCUCGCCGAAAGGGAAUUAAUACCGCAUAUGGUCAGGAAAGACAUCUUUCCAACACCAAAGCCGGGGCAACCUGGCGCUUCUUGAUGAGCCCGCGGCCUAUCAGCUAGUUGGUGAGGUAACGGCUCACCAAGGCUAUGACGGGUAGCUGGUCUGAGAGGACGACCAGUCACACUGGAACUGAGACACGGUCCAGACACCUACGGGUGGCAGCAGUCGAGAAUUUUUCACAAUGGGGGCAACCCUGAUGGAGCGACGCCGCGUGGAGGAUGAAGGCUUUCGGGUUGUAAACUCCUGUCAUUUGAGAACAAGGUGCAUCGAUUAACUGUCGAUGCAUUGAUAGUAUCAGAAGAGGAAGAGACGGCUAACUCUGUGCCAGCAGCCGCGGUAAUACAGAGGUCUCAAGCGUUGUUCGGAUUCAUUGGGCGUAAAGGGUGCGUAGGUGGCGGGGUAAGUCAGGUGUGAAAUUUCGGAGCUCAACUCCGAAACUGCAUUUGAUACUGCCUUGCUUGAGGACUGGAGAGGAGACUGGAAUUCACGGUGUAGCAGUGAAAUGCGUAGAUAUCGUGAGGAAGACCAGUGGCGAAGGCGGGUCUCUGGACAGAUCCUGACACUGAGGCACGAAGGCCAGGGGAGCAAACGGGAUUAGAUACCCUAGUAGUCC